GACGAACGCUGGCGGCGUGCCUGAUACAUGCAAGUAGAACGCUGAAGAAAGGAGCUUGCUUCUUUUGGAUGAGUUGCGAACGGGUGAGUAACGCGUAGGUAACCUGCCUUGUAGCGGGGGAUAACUAUUGGAAACGAUAGCUAAUACCGCAUAACAGCUUUUGACACAUGUUAGAAGCUUGAAAGAUGCAAUUGCAUCACUACGAGAUGGACCUACGUUGUAUUAGCUAGUAGGUAGGGUAACGGCCUACCUAGGCGACGAUACAUAGCCGACCUGAGAGGGUGAUCGGCCACACUGGGACUGAGACACGGCCCAGACUCCUACGGGAGGCAGCAGUAGGGAAUCUUCGGCAAUGGGGGCAACCCUGACCGAGCAACGCCGCGUGAGUGAAGAAGGUUUUCGGAUCGUAAAGCUCUGUUGUAAGAGAAGAACGUGUGUGAGAGUGGAAAGUUCACACAGUGACGGUAACUUACCAGAAAGGGACGGCUAACUACGUGCCAGCCGCCGCCGUAAUAC
rnacentral:rRNA from 1 species